AUAAGGAAUCGUACGCGUUGCGGUUUCAGCAUGUACUGUAUGAAUAAGCAUCGGCUAACUCCGUGCCAGCAGCCGCGGUAAUACGGAGGAUGCAGGCGUUAUCCGGAUUUAUUAGGUUUAAAGGGUGCGUAGGCGGCAAUAUAAGUCAGGGGUGAAAUCUUGUAGCUCAACUACAAGUUUGCCUUUGAUACUGUCUUGCUAGAGUACGAACGAGGUAGGCGGAAUGUGCAGUGUAGCGGUGAAAUGCUUAGAUAUUGCACAGAACACCGAUUGCGAAGGCAGCUUACCAGGCCGUAACUGACGCUGAUGCACGAAAGCGUGGGGAUCAAACAGGAUUAGAUACCCUGGUAGUCCACGCCGUAAACGAUGAUCACUUGCUGUUGGCGAUACAUUGUCAGUGGCAAAGGGAAACCGAUAAGUGAUCCACCUGGGGAGUACGUUCGCAAGAAUGAAACUCAAAGGAAUUGACGGGGGCCCGCACAAGCGGAGGAACAUGUGGUUUAAUUCGAUGAUACGCGAGGAACCUUACCUGGGUUUGAACGUAUGUUGCAUGAGUUGGAAACAGCUCUUUCCUUCGGGACUACAUACGAGGUGCUGCAUGGUUGUCGUCAGCUCGUGCCGUGAGGUGUCGGCUUAAGUGCCAUAACGAGCGCAACCCUCAUUGCCAGUUACCAGCACAUCAUGGUGGGGACUCUGGCGAAACUGCCGGCGUAAGCUGUGAGGAAGGUGGGGAUGACGUCAAAUCAGCACGGCCCUUAUAUCCAGGGCUACACACGUGUUACAAUGGUCGGUACAGCGGGCAGCCACUUGGCGACAAGGAGCUAAUCCCGAAAGCCGAUCUCAGUUCGGAUCGAAGUCUGCAACUCGACUUCGUGAAGGUGGAUUCGCUAGUAAUCGCGCAUCAGCUAUGGCGCGGUGAAUACGUUCCCGGGCCUUGUACACACCGCCCGU
rnacentral:rRNA from 1 species